rnacentral:lncRNA from 10 species
CUUUAGUCAUUCUUCAAGGCAAGUCUGUAGUCAACAUAUUCUCUUAGGUUACCCUUAUUUGAGAAUGUCUUGAUUUCCCCUCCAUUUCUGAAGGAUACUUUCAAUGGAUAUAGGAUUCUAGAUAUGACAGUUCCUUUUCUUCUCUGCACUUGAAAGAACUGAAAAAAGCACUUGAAAAAUGCUGAAAGAACUUCCUUCAGGCCUUUCUGGUUUACGAUGAGAAAUCCACUGUUAUUGGGAUUAUUUUUCCCUUGCAUGAAUAGAUUUCUCAACAAAGCAAGUGCUCACAUAAGCUGCUGAAGUCUUAAAUGGAGAGCAGAGAUAGCUGGAGUCCUGUGGGUACUUUAAGGGAGUUUCAGGUGUGAGCUCUACAUUAUGCUGAGAUGGCUAUGUACAAGUAUAUCCAGAAUGACGGUGGAUACGUUGAAAGUCCAAUCAACUGUGCUAAAUCUUGAAUCAGUUCUCUCUGUUGCCUUUUGCAGUAAAUAAGGAAAUAUGGAGUAAAAGAGUAAUCUUCCUGCUGAGCAUGUUUUGCGGUUGCCAGCGCUGCCCCGGGUGUGUCUGGAGGAACACUCCCUGUUGCCUAACAACUGCUGUAAUGUAACGGAAAUAGAAGCACGAUGCCACACAUCCCUCAGAAAACGACUUGGCCCUUGGCCCUCCUGUGGAUGAAGAGUAUAUUGAAGAGAAACUGGAUAUUUCUAAAUUUGCUAAGACUCGCUUUUCUCACUUGCUCUCAGAUCACACUACUUUUGAGUAGCCCAAAAUUUUGUUGCCAACUCAGCAAGUUAAGCAAACAAUAUUACAAAUCAUGUUGAAACUGAAGUGGUCCCCAUGGGCCAGUGAGUACGGUGCAGGUGGAGAAAAAAUUAGCUGCUGAGUUAGGACAAACUGCUCCAAUUUUGAAGGCACAAAUGGGCAUCAUCUUGGGCCCGGGUACUACCCAAGGUGGACCUCUCAAUCAGGCUCUUAUGCUCCCAGGUGUAGUUGUUGGGUGAACUCUCUCCCUGGAUGCUCAGGGACAGCAUCUCAGAGAGAGGUGAAUGGAAAAACCAUGAGACCCUGUACACACUCUAGGUGCAAUGGAUUACAAGGGUUGAUAGCUCUUCUUAGUAACCGAAAGCCUAUAUGCUCCAUCUUUCUUGAUGGCAAGGUCCCUGGGAAGGAGACAUUCUCUUAGAAUGUCAUUAAAUGACCAUAGAAUAAGCAUGAAGUGAGUGGAAUUAUGUGGAAGGGAUUCAGCAUUUUACCCAAGCACUGGGCAGCCCCUGGGUGUGGCUGUCCCUCCACAGUGGCCUGUCUGUCUAAGUCUUGACCCACCCACCCAGAUCCUCUUGGAAGCCACUGAUAGCAUUUGCCUCUGGGAAUUCUGCAGCCUUUGCUGAUGAGUCUCAGUUGACACCAUCUAUCAUUGCAGAUACAGAUGUCUCCAAAAGGCAAUUGCCAAAGGCUGUGCCACACAGCACACACCUGUCCAUGUGCAGAUUGAUUCUGUUAAACUCUUCAGCUAUCUUGUGGGCUGCUUUUCCCUGCCUCAUUAUCUGCCUGCAGACCUUCCUUCUGUGUUCUCUGCUCUUAGAGGUCAGAUUGAUCUGUAUUUUUAUCAAGAUGAGGAAGGAGAUGGUAGACUGUGAAUCAAGGAUCUACCUCUCCCAGUAAUUCACUGUGGCAUCUUGGGGCACCUGCUGGCCCUCUCUGAGCCUCCAUUUUCUUACCCACGAAAUGUGGAUUUGGACCCAGUUAUCUCCAACCACCCAAGAGUCUGUGAUUCUGCUACUAAGAAAAGCAAAAGGCAAGUACAAGAUAGCAUGUGUUUAGUUGCUGGGGAAAGCUCAGUCUAAUAUUAAAAAUAAUAAGUAUAAAAAUAAUCACCACCAUUCACUCGAGCUUGCUUUGCCAGUUCUGCACUGUGAUCUUUGCAGGGGUAAUCUUACUGAAUCCUCUGCUCCAACCCUACCAGGUGGGAACUACUUUUAUCUUUAUUUUUCUGAUGAGGAGAUUGAGCCUCAGAGAUGUUAAGCAACCUGCCGAAGCAGAGAGUUAAUAUGUCGGGAUUCAUCACAGGCAGAUCCCUCUGCUCUUGGGAAGCCCAGACCUCAGAAGCAGGAGUGGGUCUGAUUCAGGUGUGCUCUGAGGGCCAGCUGUCCUUUCCAAAAAUGCCUUCCUUUAUUUAGACACCAACAUCCUUGCUAUUUUGGAUUUUUCAAUGAGCUUCCUUAUUUUCUCCCUAUUCUGUCCUAUUCAGCAAAAUGAAUGAAUAAAUAUAGGUUCCUAAUGUUACAAAUUUAAUUUUCUUCUAGAAAUGAAAGUGUUUAUUUCUCUUCUUUUAUUUCUCAAGCCAAAAUAAUUAUUUCCUCCUUCUUAGAAGUCCAGGAAUAGGUUAAACUUUAAUUAAAAGUCUUAUGGUUCAACAGUUGGAAUGAGGAUCAGGUAAUAACGAAGAAACCCCGUAAACACCCUGAGGAGAACCAGCACCCCCUCCAUUGGUUGUUUUAGCUCAGCCCACAGCUAACAGCUCAGCUCAGAAAGUUCCUACCACCCACUCCGCUUCUAACGCCUUUUAAUAUUCGCACAGAGUUUUCUCACAUUGUGGCUCUCACACACUUCCUUUAUACAUGCUGUUUCCUCAGCCUGGAAUGCCACCUCUUUCUUUACCUGGAGAACCCCUGUCCCUUAAAGACGCAGGUCAGAAGUCACGUAGUACUCCUCUGCUACCACCUAAUGCAAAGCGUGAUUAUUCCUUCACUUCUCUUCUGCAUUUAAAUUAUUGAGGGAAGAGGCUUGGUCUCAUUGCCUUUGGAAUAGCUCUGGAUCUGCGUUCAUGUUUUGUAUAUAAUACGACUCAGUAAAGGUUGUGUAAUAUAUGACUUUCAUAUGUGUGUAUGCAAAGAUAAUGUGUUCCCAUGCCCUUUGACUCAGUUUUCCCCAUGGCAAUGAAUUUAACCACAGGAAAUAAUUGAAUAGGAGAAAGAAGAUUACACAGAUGGAAGUUCUAUAAAAUAUGUAUUUGCUAAACAUUGGAAACAAGUUAAAUGUUUAUCAAUUGAGUAAUGGCAAGUAAAUUGGGGUACAUGAUC